rnacentral:rRNA from 1 species
AUUGAACGCUGGCGGCAUGCUUUACACAUGCAAGUCGAACGGUAACAGGCCGCAAGGUGCUGACGAGUGGCGAACGGGUGAGUAAUGCAUCGGAACGUGCCCAGUCGUGGGGGAUAACUACUCGAAAGAGUAGCUAAUACCGCAUACGAUCUAUGGAUGAAAGCGGGGGACCGUAAGGCCUCGCGCGAUUGGAGCGGCCGAUGUCAGAUUAGGUAGUUGGUGGGGUAAAGGCUCACCAAGCCAACGAUCUGUAGCUGGUCUGAGAGGACAACCAGCCACACUGGGAGUGAGACACGGCCCAGACUCCUACGGGAGGCAGCAGCGGGGAAUUUUGGACAAUGGGCGCAAGCCUGAUCCAGCAAUGCCGCGUGCAGGAAGAAGGCCUUCGGGUUGUAAACUGCUUUUGUACGGAACGAAACGGCUCUGGUUAAUACCCGGGGCUAAUGACGGUACCGUAAGAAUAAGCACCGGCUAACUACGUG